rnacentral:rRNA from 1 species
AGAACGAACGCUGGCGGCAUGCCUAACACAUGCAAGUCGAACGCUCUUGGGGCUUCGGUCUCAGGGGAGUGGCGCACGGGUGAGUAGCGCGUGGGAACCUGCCCUGUUGUGGGGGAUAACCGAGGGAAACUUCGGUUAAUACCGCAUAAGCCGGUUGUCUUGAAGGAGAUGGCCGGGAAAGAUUUAUCGCGACAGGAGGGGCCCGCGUCGGAUUAGCUAGUUGGUGGGGUAACGGCCCACCAAGGCGGUGAUCCGUAGCUGGUCUGAGAGGAUGAUCAGCCACACUGGGACUGAGACACGGCCCAGACUCCUACGGGAGGCAGCAGUGGGGAAUAUUGGACAAUGGGCGCAAGCCUGAUCCAGCAAUGCCGCGUGAGUGAUGAAGGCCUUAGGGUUGUAAAGCUCUUUCGCCCGCGACGAUGAUGACGGUAGCGGGAGAAGAGCCCGGCUAACUCGCGCCAGCAGCCGCGGUAA